rnacentral:rRNA from 1 species
UACGUAGGAGGCAAGCGUUGUCCGGAAUUACUGGGUGUAAAGUGCGUGUAGGCGGCAGGCCAAGUCUGUGGUGAAAUCGCUCGGCUCAACUGGGCGGGGUCCAUGGAAACUGGUCAGCUGGAGGACGGUAGAGGUGAGUGGAAUUCCCGGUGUAGUGGUGAAAUGCGUAGAGAUCGGGAGGAACACCCGUGGCGAAGGCGGCUCACUGGGCCGGUCCUGACGCUGAGACGCGAAGGCGUGGGGAGCGAACAGG